AGGAGAACAGUCAUCCGAGGGCUCUGGGUCCUCAGCCAAGGAGGAGUGGAAACAAAGACAGAAAAGCUGGAAAACCUGAGACCCAGGAGCAGAGACCUGCCUGAUGACAUGCCUCGAGGGGAACAGAAUCAACCCUGGAACCCAGGCCCACCCCACCCAGCACCCCUGUAGGUGCCUGGCCUGUGUGCAUGAGAUGGGAGUGGAGAGCGGAGGAAACUCUUGAACGGUCAGAAACAAGAGUCCAGAGUCCAUGAAACCACACCAGCCGACAAUCUGUCACUCAGUCAACAAACAUUAAUUGAGCAGCUACUCUGUGCCAGGCUUCUAGGUACAUGGGAUGCAACGGUCAAGCAAACGAACACCUCGGCUUUCAAGAAGCUUACAUUCAAGGGAGAGUUCUCAUUGUCCUGUGAUAAAACGCGGGGAGACAGAUGAUGAAAAGCCCACCUGACCUCAUCCAGUUCAGCCAGCCUGGAGGCCAAGGGAUGAAGCAUUUGACAUCUGUAGGAGUUCCUGUUGUGGCUCAGUGGGUUAAGGAACCCGACAUUGUCUCUGUCGAGGAUACAGGUUCGAUUCCUGGCCUCACUCAGUGGAUUAAGGAAGGGUCUGGCCUUGCAGAGCCUCAGAUCCCGUGUGAUGGUGGCUGUGGUGUAGGCCUCAGCUGGAGCACUCAUUUGACCCCUGACCUGGGAACUUCUAUAUGCUGCAGGUGCAGGAGUAAAAAGAAGAAAAGAAAAAUUUGACACCUGUAACCUCAGAAACUCAAAGCAACAGGUCCCACCUCUAGUGAGAGGGCGCCUACUCUCUUUUACCUUCACCUUGGUUCCAAGCUUGUGAAGCUGCUGGGUCCCCUGCCUGCCACCUGCUUGCCGCAGACCCCAGCAAAGAGGAGGACGGGCGCUGGAGCUGAGAUCCAUUUUACAGGGAGCCCCAGAGCCUUCUGGGCUGAGUCUGGGCUCUCGUCCUGGGAAGACAGAUUCCACGAAUGGGAUUUUGCUCUGCAAUGGCUCCAUUGUGCUCCCAGUGGCGCCAGGGCGGUUGGGUGGCGCGGCGAGGCUGCGCUCUGAGCCGGUGUGAAGAAGGUACCUCUGGCCUCGGCACCGCCUGGACCCAUCAACAGGCCUGGCGUGGAGCCUCCUGCUGGCAUUUUCCACGCCGGAUUGUGCUUCAGCCAGACUUCCUGUGCAGAGCUGGCCCGUCGUGAGGCCUGCGGGGGAGGGCAGGAGGAGGAGGGUGAGCCCUGGGGCUGCUGCCUGGUGGACAAACAAGAUGUUUAUUCAGGGGAGAAGGAGGAGGAGGCCCGGGAACGAAGCUGCUGGUGCCUGGGUCUUUCCUUCCUGCCUUCCCCGCCUUGCUCUGCACACACACACAGCACUGCACCGGGGGCAGCGCCCAGGACAUCAACCCUGAAGGACUUGAGGACAGACAGACGGACACACAUACUCACACCAUACAACAAGGGGAUCCCGUGGACAAGCCUGUGUUCACAUUUCUGACAUAACCUUCCUAAACACACACACACACACAUACACACACACACUACCUUUGCAUUUUAAAGUCAAUUAACCCUGGCAAAACAGAGUUAAAGGGGUGGCACUUGUCCAAGGGCGUCACAGCAGCCACCAAUGCCAAGAUGGAGAAUCAGUCCAGAGACGGAAGGAGGUGGUGGCUGGCAUGGGGGUGGGGUUGCCAGGUUUGUGAUGUGGCGCCUCUGGGGUGAACAGAUUGGGCCUUGAUCUUGGAUACUGUCCUGGGAGGCUGCAGGGAUGAAGGUGCCUCCCUGGACUAAGGAGCUGGGCUCUGGGGCCCCCUGCAGAGACAGAACCUGAGAGUGGACAGAUGGACAGAUGGACUCCUAGAGGGAAGCUGAGGUGCCCCAGGGCCUCGCCCCUCAAAGUGGAUCACAGCUGGCAGCACGGCAUGGAAGCUUCUUAGAAAUGCAGCAUCUCGGGUCCAACACAGACUUACUGAGUCAGAGCCUGGUUAUCCAUUUACAUAUUCAAGUUCUGGAGGCUUUUCUCUAGAUGCUUCCUGGACCCUGAAUGAGGGUUUCCUUGUGGACAAGGCAUGAAUGACAACAUCGCUCUUAGCAGAUUCCCUUCUCGGAGUCUGCAAGUCGCCGUGUGAGGUCAGCCCAGCCAUCUCCCAGACUGCAGGUACGGCUGGCUCCGCCUGUGGUCUGCCAGAUGUAUUUAUUCAUUCAUUUCACAGUUGUUUGCUGUGCACCAUAUCAUAUCAUUUGAGAUAUGAUAAGCCAAAACCAGACGUGGUUCCUACUCUUGUGAAGUUUUCAGGCUUGAGGGAUUGGCCGAUAAGGCUUUCCUGAAGAAGUGGUGCUUGAGCUUUUGAAGAGGCGACUUUGGUGAAGAGGAGAGAGAAAUGUAUUCCAGGCAGAGAGAACAGCACAAGCAAAGGCCCUGGGGUAAGAUGGAGCAUGGCUGGUCUGAGGAACUAAAGAGCAGUACAGCUGGAGAGGGCAGAGAGCAAGAAAGACCAUUGUAUUAGUGAGACUGGGUGUAACAAUUUCCAGGGAGCCAGAGUUCCCUGGUGCCUGCCAUAGCCCUUGAUGGUUUCAGAGAAUCCUAGAAUGUCAGAGAUGGAAAGAACUUUGGGCUUCAUCCAGGCCAGUGCUUGAACCUGGCUUCAAGCCUUAGCUCCAUCAUAAAUUAACUGUAAAUGUGACCCUGGGUCAUGGGUUUCUCAUGUGAAAAGUGUUAGGGGUGCAAGAAAUGACACCCACUUUGCCUAGGCUGGGAGUAGCUCAUGUAAGACUUCUCUGAAGAGUUAUUUUAGUUAGGAUGCGUGUUAGGCUGCUAUUAAAAAGAGACCCCAAAAUAUAGUGGCUUAAACAAGAAACAGCUUCAUUUCUCUCUCCUGUCAAAAGUCUGAGUAGAUGGUAUGGAGCUCAAUGAUGGCGGAAAGCUAGGUGUCUUCGGCCUUGGUGCUCUGUCACCAUCAGCACAUGGUUUCAUGUGGUCCAAAAGGAUGCUUCAGCUCCUGCCAUCACAUUUGCUCCCUUCUUUUAAAGAUCCAGAUAUUCGGAGUUCCCGUGUUCCUAGUCGGAUUUGUUAACCACUGCACCACGACGGGACCUCCUCCAUCCUCCUACUUCUGCACCCCUUCCUCGUGCUACCCACUGGCUCACGCCGGACCCAAAUGUCUGCCACCACUCCCAAGCCUCCAUGACUUCAGAGUUCAGCACCCCACAGCUCCUGGUGUCUGUCCUCUGCUGUCUUAAUUUCACAUGCCUCGGCCAACCGUCUUACUGGUUCACCUUGGUUCACGUUUCCUCUCCUCGUCUGAUCAGCUUUACCAAGGCGAGUCACUUGGUUCAAAGAUGGCUACCUAGGCCUUCCAUCUUCAGGAAGAACUUCGUCUUCAGGAAGAAUACAUCAAUUGGAUCCACCACCCUCACUGCCUUUCUCUCCCUCCCACUCGCAUUCACCUCUGUGUAAACCGAAGCUUGGCACUUAGCCCUCAGCCUCUAUACCGGGUAAAACACGAGCCACUGCAGCUGUCGGCCCGCAGUGGCGCUCAGGGUGGAGACCAGGAGUGAGACACUCUGUGCUCUGGGAAAACUGGAAGAACAGGUCUUCAGACAGUUGGAUAGUUUUAAGAGAAGAUUUUAUGAGCCCAAUUCUUGCAUCUCCUCCUAUCUAGAAACACACUAAAAUCCUUCCAUGAUGACUGAUGUCUGUGACUAGUAAUAACCUUCACGAGACCAGCAGCAAACUUCUGUAAAAUGGGUGCAUGGCUGCAGGUACCUCCCCCUCGACCUUUAUGACUUGUGUCUUGAUAUCCGCCCCCCCCAUCCUCUUUUUUUUCUUUUCCUGCCUUUUUAGGGCCGCAUCCACGGCCUAUGGAAGUUCCCAGGCUAGGGGUUGAAUCAGAGCUACAGCUGCCAGCCUGCACCACAGCCACAGCAAUGCAGGAUCCAAGCCACAUCUGCAAUCUACACCACAGGUCACAGCAACACCAGAUCCUUAACCACUGAGCAAGGCCAGGGAUCGGAACCUGCAUCCUCAGGGAUCCUAGUCGGGUUUGUUAACCACCGAGCCACCAAGGGAACUGCCCGCCUUUCCUUUUUGGGGAGAGGUAUCUGAAAUACUGCCUCCUAGGCUGUAGUUAAGUGGACAAAACAAAAGAUGUCAGGGUCCCCGUGAGAACAGCCACUCCCAAGGCGGGUGGGCAGUGAGCCCUGAGGGAACUCAGCAAAGAAACAAAGACUGGUCUGAGGCUGAGGUGCAUAUCAAAGGAGGGAUUCCAGUAAGCCCAGAAUUUUACAUCUUCCCAUAGAAACCGGCUUUCCGUAAAGCUUUUUCUGUAAUCUGGUUAUCUGUAAACCUUUUGUUCCUACCACCUUCCCUUUGUUGCAAAAACUCCUGUCCCAGCUCCCUGCCUCGCCUCCUCCUCCGAGUGCUUUCUCAGGGCUGCCUGAGAUGCUGUCUUCAGGGUUUAAGUCCUAAUUUCCCCCCAAAUAGAAUUUAACUCUCAACUUCCAGGUUGUGCAUUUUUUUUUCAGUUGACAUAUGGAGGCCUUCAGCAAAUUCUUAACAAGUAACUUCAGAAAGAGCACCAGGGCUUUGAAGGCGGAGGACCUGGGCUCAGAUUUGUGAUUCUGGGCAAGGCCUUGCCCAUCUAUGUGUCUCAUAUGUCUAUACGGUCCCUCCUCAGUAACAUGACGGGGUCUAUGCGUCAACUAGAUUGGAGGUUAUCAACCCUGGGAGAUUAGAAUCAUUUAGGGUAUUUCUUUUCUUUAAAAAAAAGUUUUUUUAAUUAAAGUACAGUUGAUUU
rnacentral:lncRNA from 1 species